rnacentral:misc_RNA from 1 species
CGUCUUCUGUUACACCGAGUUCGCCGUGGAAAUUCCGGUUGCAGGCGGUUCAUUUGCUUACCUAAGAGUAGAGCUUGGUGACUUCGUGGCCUUCAUUGGCGCUGGCAACAUCCUCCUUGAGUAUGUGAUUGGUGGUGCUGCUGUAUCCCGCUCAUGGACAUCUUACUUCGCCACCCUCUGCAACCACAAACCUGAUGAUUUUCGAAUCAUAGCCCAUAGUCUUCCUGAUGAUUAUGGCCACCUUGAUCCCAUUGCCGUUGUUGUUGUUUCCAUCAUUUGUGUCCUCGCUGUCCUUAGCACCAAGGGAUCGUCACGCUUCAAUUACAUUGCCUCCAUUGUCCACAUUGUGGUGAUUCUAUUCAUCAUUAUUGGCGGCCUUAUCAAUGCAGACACCAAAAAUUACUCCGACUUUGUUCCCUACGGUCCUCGGGGAAUUUUUAAAGCUUCAGCUGUGCUUUUCUUUGCAUAUGUUGGAUUCGAUGCUGUUUCCACAAUGGCUGAAGAAACCAAAAAUCCUGCUCGAGAUAUUCCUAUUGGGCUUGUGGGCUCAAUGACAAUAACUACAUUGCUCUAUUGUUUGCUAGCCGUGACAUUGUGUCUCAUGGUUCCAUACCAGCAAAUCGAUCCAGAUGCCCCAUUUUCUGUAGCAUUUCAGGUUGCAGGUUGGGAUUGGGCUAAAUACGUUGUGGCUGCAGGCGCAUUGAAAGGCAUGACCACUGUUUUGCUUGUUUCAGCAGUAGGUCAGGCCCGUUAUCUCACACACAUUGCU